rnacentral:misc_RNA from 1 species
UUGCAGGUUGAGGCACAGGAGUCUGCAGUUGCCCGCAUCGAUGAUGGUGCGUCCGAGGCGGAUGCAGGGCACGCGUCGGUUAUGCUGCUUGCACGCGUCGCUGGCGCGCUGUGCCUGCCACGCUAUGAGGCCGGCCGCACGUCGGGACGCGCUUCCGAUGCGAGUGAUCUAGAGUGGAUGGUGGAUGCGAUGCACUUGCUCCUGCUGGAUUGGAAUGUCGUUCCCGACAUUGCCGCGGCGAUACAUUCGAUGCGUCGGCAUGUCUUGCAACAGCUUCGCACGGUGCUUGCUGCUUGGACGCAGGUUGCGCGUACGGUGCCGGAGCCGCGGGGUUACCGGCUGCGUACGCAGCUGCACCUGCUUCGUCGGCAGCUCUGCGAUGAGCCCGUGGAUGUGUUUGGGAGCGGUACGGUUCCGUGAUAGUUCCCGAUUCUCUAGCCGAGUAUUGUGAACGCCACGAAAACGAACACGGUGACGACGGCGAUGACGAUGAGACUCAGCGAAAUUCCCAGGAUAGCACUGAUAAAGAGCCAAAGGACGCGCAGGACGGCGAGAGCGACGAGCACCACGCCUGCCCAUAGGAUCAGUUGCUCCCAGAACGUCCGCGACGGGUCGCUUGUGUAAACGCCCUUGGCAGGCUGCGCAGGCGCGUCGCGCAGAACGCGUCGGAGUGCCGGCGAUAUAAAGGGCCGCUCAUCUGACUCUGGGAGCAGCACACUGUCGAGGUAGUCAUCGUCCAAGGGCGGUGGGUCCGCGGGGGCACCACGCGCCCGCGCGACGGCGCUCCUAAGCAGGUUGGGCACGUUGCCGGGGGAGAGGCGCUCGAGGCUUCGCCUCAGUCGGCCGAGCAACCAGCGCUGUAGCGCAUUCAGCCGCAGCGGCCGCUCAUCAGGUCGUACACGCACUGUCUGGGUCGGCUGGUCGCCACUGGACGGUGACGCUGGUGACGGCUCUGACACAGCACAGCGUGCCGGUGUGCGGCUAGUUCUUGACGCGGAACGCUUCACCCGCCGCACCCGUAACAACGCGCUUCCAGACGCAAACUCGACGAAAGCAUACCUCUGCAAACCGCGUGGCAUGGGACAUAGGCGUCUUGCAGGUUAUUGGAGCACAGCCUCAGUACACGUUUAUGCAACAGAAGCGCGUCAAGCGCAGAGCGUAUCGGUGCAACCGAGGCCGCCCAGAGCUCGCUGUACCUGCCGCGCGCGAACCUGUGCUGCGUCAACUGCCCUGCUGCUGUCGUGUGUUGUAACAUACGCUCUGCAACCGGCACAAGAUCAUGAGGUCGCAAGCCCACGACCCUCGGUCGAUAGAGUAUGCGCGCUUUCGUCGGUGCGCAUCGCUUCAGAUGCGUCCUGUGUUGCAGGCGACACGAAAGCGCCUCGUAUUACAGACUUGUCGAGAAAGGCGCACCUGAGACACGCUUGUAACCGUCAUACAUGUACAAAAGGCGCAUCCGCUGGCGAUCCUAUGCCACGCUGCUCUGCGGAUCGCCGUCUGUGAUGCACAGACCAGCGGCAGUGUCGCUCGAAAUCUCGCCUGCCGCAUGCACAGUGCGUACGCGAUGAAUGCCGUCCUAGUGCUUCUCCUCGGUGAGACUCGGAUGCGGUACGAGGCCACUGAGAUAAUUCGGCCAGCGCUUCAGGUUAUUCGGAUCGCAGUACCAGGUCUUGGUUCGGCGCAGGCCCUCUUCCCAGGACACCUGCGGCCUCCAGCCAAGCGCAUGCAGCUUCGACGAGUCGAUCCUGUAGCGCAUAUCGUUGAGGGUGCGAUCUUUGACAAACUCGAUGUGGCGGUUCGCCUCGGCAGACAGGCCGAAGAGAUCGAUAAUGUCGUGCACAACGUCAAUGUUGCGUUUCUCGAUCUCAGAGCCUACAUUGUAGACCUCAUCGGUCUCGCCACAAUGCAGGAUGGUGUCAAAGGCGCUCGCCGCGUCCUCGACGUACAAAAAGUUGCGUGCAUGCUCACCAGAGCCGUGUACAAAGCAGGGCCGGCGUUGCGCCAGCAGACAGAUACUCUUGGGAAUGAGCUUGUCGGGGAACUGGUGCGGCCCGUACACGUUGUUGCCGCGUGUGAUGAUCACCGGCAAUCCGAACGACUUGACGUAGCCGCGGCAAAUGAAUUCAGCGGCGGCCUUGCUACAUGCGUACGGGUUCGUGGGUGCCAGGAUCGAUGACUCUGUCUCCAUGUUGCUCUCGCCGCCGUACACCUCAUCGGUGCUGACGUGAAUGAAGCGCCGCACUUUGCCGUACUGGCGUGCGCACUCCAGGAGGACGUGCGUUCCCAGCACGUUGUUCUCCGUAAACAGGAUCGAGGACGUGAACGAGUUAUCGACGUGCGUGCACGCCGCAAAGUGGAGCACUGUAUCGAUGCACUCCUCCUGGAGCACGUAGAGCACCAGGUCAUGCGAGCGGAUAUCGCCGCGAAUAAACUUGAAGUUUGGUCGGUUUGCCACCUGCGCGAGGUUGCUCAGCGACGAGCAGUAGUCGAGCUUGUCCAGUACCGUCACGCGGUAAUGGGGAUAUCGACUCACGAGCCGUUCGACAACGUGCGAGGCAAUAAAGCCGGCACCGCCAGUCACAAGGAUAUUCCGCGGCACGAAGCGCAGACGGUCGCCGUAGACGACCCGCGCGUCCGAGUUCCCGUCGGGCUGUCCACCGGUUACCGACUUGGCACCGUUCGAAAGCGCCGUGCUCUGCGAGGACAUUUAUCUUGCCAACGUGCGCCUUUCGACUCGGACACACACAACCACACGCACCGGCUACUUCCGCGCUCUGCCUGCACAGGCGGUAACGCCACGAUCGUAGCGCGCGUUUCUGUUUCGACAGGAUCCAUCUCUAGCGAGACACGUGUCCCAGGUAUGCGACCGAUGAUGGCGGCAGCAGCGUCGCCACCGCGCACGCAUCGCUCAUGCGGCGGGCGGCGAUUGCGCGCGCGCUCUGUGGAUCGCGCGCUUCCAUCAUGGUGUAGGGCAGAAGGAUCAACACUGAGGCUGGCGGCAUGAAUCCAAGGAGAUAUGUGUGCAUCAUUCGCGCUGUGGGCAGCAGCGCGAUAGCGACCGACAGUGAUGUUGCUGGCAGGUACGGAGUGUGGGCGCUUUCGGGGAUCUGUUGAAACUCGCCUUGCCACUAGGACUUGUUUGUGUGUUCGUUCCUGUGUUCGCGCACGUGAAUCCGCUCCACUAUGCAAUUCAUGAGCGCUGUCUCGAGCGUGUCGGCCUUGACGGACUCUGCUUAUGUGGCAGCAUCGACAGCACGUUCCCGUCGCUCAGACAUCCCAGCCAGAGCGUGGCGAGAACGCUGUGUUCCCAUGCUGCAGCGUGCGCGCGUGCACAUAUUCGCGCAGUGCUCACCAGCAUUCACACGUUUUUACGUAUGGAAGCAUGCACGAAUGCAGUAAUGCACGUAUGCACGUAUCGAGUCCCUAGGAUCCCUGUAAUCCUGACCGCUGCUAGCAGGCAGUCGUCCAGCCAAUGCCUGCAGGCCCCUGGAUGCUGCAUUCGAAGGCACACAUGAACGCCAGGAACAAAUGCCUGCGCCACUUUGAUGCACUCUCUUCAGAGGCUUGCGUCAUUUACACGGAUCACUAUUAGAAGGGCUCUGCAGUUGGAUCAUCCCGGUAUCCGAUUUCGCCUGCAGCGGCUGCCACAGCGGAGCUAGCCUAUCGGAGCAAGUCUUUCCAGAACGCCUCGCAGUCAGCCUUGAGGUCCGCGUCGAAAGGUGCCUUACACGGCAGUAAGUGCCCUGGUGCCAAUGACGCUUCCGUUCCUUUCGCCCAGUGCAGGAUUGUGCUAGCGCGCCUGCAGUCGCAGUCGCUUCCCUGCACGCAAAGCGAGUCGUCCCUGGGAGCGCACGCCAUCGACCCGUCACUCGGUGCGUAACCGUUUUGUCGCAAAGUACGCCACCUGCGGUGCUAUACUAGGGCGCAGCCAGCGGCUUGACACCCUUCGCCUGCAUGCGCCGAAAGACCUCCUCCAUGGCGGCGUGGACCUCGCGGAUCUGGGCACCGGGAUUGUCCCGCAGCAGUUUGCGGACGUCGAGCUCGCAGUUGGAGCGGCCGGCCUUGAGGAUUUUUGCCUGCUCCUCGAGCGUAAAGUUCUUCC